ensembl:lncRNA
AGCGCUGCCCGAGACACUGGCUGACCUUGGUUAUGCCACUCAAUAUCUCUGGACCCCAUUUUCCUCAUCUUUUUUUGCUAGAAGAGUGACGACUUCUCAGCAGGGUGGUUAUGCAAAGCAAUAAGGAUAACGUGGGUGGAGGGAUGGUAUACCGUAGGGAAUUAAUAAAGCUGUGGCACCUUUCUCCUCCUCUUACAACACACACCGUCCUUCAGCGACUUCUGGGUUUAUCUUCUUCAUCUGGGUCUUUUGGGUGAAAGGCCUCACGGCUGGCUGCCUCUGCCUAGAUCAGGGAUCAACAAACUUUUUUCUGCCAAGGGCCAUAAAGUAAAUAUUUUAGGCUUUGGGAGCCAUAAGGUAGCUCUCACAACUACUCAUCAUUAUAGUCACGGUGCAGAAAUAGCCAUAAAUGAUAUGUAAAUGAACGAGUAUGGCGGUGUUCCAAUAAAACUUUAUUGACAAAAACAGGCAGUGAGCCAGAUUUGUCCCCCCAGGCUGUAGUUUGCCAACCUCUGGCUUAAAGUUUUCAGUCCAAACAUACCUGCUUAUCCCUCAAGGGACUUCCCCAGGUUGGUUUCACAUGGUCCAACCAGUCAGGUUUGCAAUUGUUCUCUUAAAUGUUUCCCAACCCUAUCCAACAAAAUUUCCUUUUGUUCUCUCUCUCUCUCUUUUAAUGUUUAUUUGUUUUUGAGAGACAGAGUGUGAGCGGGGGAGGGCAGAGAGAGAGAGAGGGAGACACAGAAUCCGAAGGAGGUUCCAGGCUCUGAGCUGUCAGCACAGAGCCCGACGUGGGGUUCGAACUCACAAACUGCGAGAUCACGACCUGAGCGGAAGUCGGACUCUCAACCGACGGAGCCACCCAGACGCCCCACCUUUUGUUCUUUGCUCACGAAGCCUCCGGUCUUGCCUCCGUGCCUUUGCUCAGACUCUUCCUCCUGCUUAGAAGAACAUCCCAUUUCUUCUCUGCACUUCAACCUCCCAGGUUGUCCUGUAAAGCAAAGGGCUCAGAUCAAGGUCUCUGGAUUCAACACUGGACGAACAGCCUUCAAGAUCCUUCAGGGCCGGGCUCAGAACAAAAGCGUCUGGCAUAGCAGGGGGUAGCAAAGACACGGGACGACGUCGGUCGGAGUACCAUCUGCCCUCAGGCUCAGCCGUUCCCAAAUGGCGUCCUUACGCAGAUGCUGUGAGAUAGAUAUUGUCAACCCAUUUUACAGAUGGAGACACUGAGGCUCAGAGAGGAGAAGUUGGGCCAAGGAUACUCAGCUGGUAAAUGGCCGAGCUGGCACUCGGAGGCAGGGCUGUUUCGUACCACCCUGCUUCCGGAAGCUAAAGGAAGAAAGCCCUGGCAGGUGACAGGGGUCUCUGGGUUCCUUCCCCCUGGCCACACAGGCAGUAGCUGAUGGUCCUGCUUUCUAGCUGUGAGGCCCAUCUCAGUUUCGGCUUUCACCACACCUGCCCUUGAGAAAGUCAAGUAAUUCAACCUUCACAGAAACCUAGGCUCCCUCAGAGUUUUCUGGAGCUGCUCUGAAGAUAAGCAGGUGGAGCCUGGUUCGUGUCUGCCCGGGAGAGUCUUCUAGGG